CACGAACCAGAUAGACUUACAACAAGAAGUUCAUUACAUCUAUCAAUUAGGAAAACAGCACGGGUAUCAGAUUGGCUUUAUGAAGUCUAUACAAGACAAAGUCAGAAGAACUGUUGACCAUCACUUGCCAGACACAACCAAUGAAAAUAGGAGAGAAGGACAAGACCCCAAAUAUAUCCCAAUACCAUAUAGACUAACCAAGCUUAACUCUGUAAAAAAUAUAUUUAAAAAAACGAAGAAGAAGCCAGCCCAACGCAAAGCAACCACGGUCUUUAAGAAGAUAAGGAGUGAGGAGCCAAAGGGGGAAGAGGGCCAAGGUUUGGGGGAUGUAUAAAAUGCUAGUCGAAAUGGUGGAGCCUAGGGGGGAUACGGAGUGUAUAGGAGUUACUAGCAGAAAUCUAGCAGGGGGACUGCAGGAGCACGGAAGGGACAUUGAAGAGGGCAACACUAGUACGGCGUUGGCCGCGGAGGCGUAUAAGAGGGAUGUGAGUGAACUGGAGUGCGA
rnacentral:lncRNA from 1 species